CAUGAUUGUAGAUCGUGAUGCACAGUGCAGU
rnacentral:piRNA from 1 species